AACAAAUUGGUGUUUCCGCCCGUGACCUGGAAGCAGGACAACAGAGCCACCGACGGAAAAAGCUCCACAGCCUGCGGCCGAAACAACUGAUAAGGAUGGAUUAACCUACAAGGGGCACAGAGACAAACUUUGCUCCUAAACUACAGAAGGAGGGAUGGUUUGCAGCUGCUGAGAUGCGAACAUUAAGGAAAUGACUGGAUGCCCACUGCUUCAGAUGAGAAAAGAACACUGGCAGUGAUGGGUUGAUGGAAGGUCAUGGGAUCAUCGGACAAGACGGAUGAAAAAAAAAAAAAAAAAAAAAGUUAAGUGAACUGACACACCAGAUUUCUUAUUCACAAUGAAAAACUAUGCUAAAUUUUCUUUAUAUCAUCAGGGGGUGGGGCAUUCUUACAUAGAGGAAUAAAAAAGAGGAUUUAGAGAUGUUUUACUAUGUGAUAAAUUAGACUGGGUUUUUGAUAAAUAGUUUGGUCAGUUAUUAAUUAGCAUAAUAUUAUUAAAGGGACAACAAGUUGAAACUUUAACUUUUGGGAAUGGUAAAGUUGCAUCAACAGAAUGCAAUUUAGGGGAAAUUAUAACAUUUUAGGAGCAAAUGUUUAAAGCAAAUGAUGGUUUCUUUUCAAAAUAAGCAAUAACGAUGAAGACUUAAUGAGUUAAUGAGCUUAUGGGGAUUCAAUAUCAGGCCCAGGGACUAAAACUUCACCAUUUAUUUUAUCUUUUUAUUUUAUUUUUAUUUGGUUUGAUAAAUUUUAAUUGUUUUUUGCUUGUUUUGUUUUUUUUACUGCGAGCAGAGUUAUAAAUAGCAUUUGAGGGGCUAUAUACAAGUUGGGGGAUGGGUAACCAUAUUUUUAAUGCAUGAAGCAAUAAGAACACCUGACUUUACUUCACUAGAGCUGCAAUUAAUACUUUAGAGGAGAUGCACACUUUAGUGUUUAGUUUAUUUGAGAUAACACAUAUAAGAAGAGAUUAUGUUUCCUGCACAUUUUUUGGAUCUGGUCAGGGGUCCAGAUAUGACAACUAUUUACUGGUUCUGGGGAUGUUGGAACAGAUUUUUUUUCGUUUGUUUUUAUUUUGUUCUUUGUUUUUGUUUUGUUUGUUUUUUCUCAUCGGAGCACUGCUUUUUGGAGAAUAUUUUAAAUGGACUAUAGCUGGACACUUUGCAUAGAGGGGGUGCAGUCGAAUUCAACACCUUCAGGAACUGUGUACUGCUGAGUUUUGGGAAUGCAGCAGCAAGUCAGAGUACAAUCCUGUGCUCUGAGCAGAUGAACAAUUCAAUAUGACAUUUCCUCUUGAAGGGAGGAACACCUUUAACGCUCUGUUUCCUUCUACCUCUAUGUGAUACUGCUGAUGACACAGGUAAAGACUUAUCCUUCAGGGGGUGUGGGGACACAUGGCCCCAAGACUCUUAUGGUUCAAAGCUGCUGUGGUAACAGAGGGAAACCUGAUGGACUUGUCCGAACAUCGAACUUUUUGCAUGUUGGAGAGGGUCACUGCUCCAAGAAACACUUUUUCUUCCAAACCAGUAGCGGGAUGGCUCCUGACCAGUUUCCCACGUAUAGAUCCACUCACAUAGACACACACACAUACUGUCACAUAACAACACGCCCACACACGGUUAACGACUGGAAGAACACACAAGGGUCCACAUGGGAAUGAGGUUUUCUUUCAUGCACUAACAUUCACGGAUACAAGGUCUGGUGGGGGAGUUUUUAAUAGGGGGAAUCUGCGCCAAGCUGGGUUUUUUCCUUAGAGAUUAAAGAACUUCUAAUAAUUUUCUGGGGAGGGUGUAGCAGUAAACUAAAAUGCAGUUACAAGUUUAGACGAGACUAAAACUUAAUAUGCUAUGAUGUAGAAAUGGUUUUAAAAUUCAUUCAUUUAAUCCAUGAAUUGAGUGUUACAAUGUGUAAAAAAGGGUUAAAUGUUUUCUAAAUAUUUACAGGUUCCUUGAAUUAGAUUAUAUUAGUUGCAGUGAUUUUGGGCUUAUAUGA